AUACGAAAGGUGCAAGCGUUGUUCGGAUUUACUGGGCGUAAAGAGAUCGUAGGUGGUUUAUUAAGUCGGAUGUGAAAUCCCGGGGCUCAACCUCGGAACUGCAUUCGAUACUGGUAGACUAGAGUUUGGGAGGGGUAAGCGGAAUUCCGUGUGUAGCAGUGAAAUGCGUAGAUAUACGGAGGAACACCUGAGGCGAAGGCGGCUUACUGGACCAAUACUGACACUGAGGAUCGAAAGAGUGGGUAGCAAACAGGAUUAGAAACCCCAGUAGUCC
rnacentral:rRNA from 1 species